GGUUCGAUUCUCUGGCUCAGAUUGAACGCUGGCGGGAUGCUUUACACAUGCAAGUCGAACGGCAGCACGGACUUCGGUCUGGUGGCGAGUGGCGAACGGGUGAGUAAUGUAUCGGAACGCCUAGUAGUGGGGAUAACUACGCCAGCAGAAGCAUACCGCAUACGCCCUUCGGGGGAAAGCGGGGACCUUCGGGCCUCGCACUAUUAGAGCGGCCGAUAUCGGAUUAGCUAGUUGGUGGGGUAACGGCUCACCAAGGCGACGAUCCGUAGCUGGUUUGAGAGGACGACCAGCCACACUGGGACUGAGACACGGCCCAGACUCCUACGGGAGGCAGCAGUGGGGAAUUUUGGACAAUGGGGAAACCCGAUCCAGCCAUCCCGCGUGCGUGAUGAAGGCCUUCGGGUUGUAAAGCACUUUUGGCAGGAAGAAACGGCACGGAUAAUACCCGUGCAACUGACGGUACCUGCAGAAUAAGCACCGGCUAACUACGCCAGCAGCCGCGGUAAUACGUAGGGUGCGUUAAUCGGAAUUACUGGGCGUAAAGUGCGCAGGCGGUUCGGAAAGAAAGAUGAAAUCCCAGAGCUUAACUUUGGAACUGCAUUUUUAACUACCGAGCUAGAGUGUGUCAGAGGGAGGUGGAAUUCCGCGUGUAGCAGUGAAAUGCGUAGAUAUGCGGAGGAACACCCGAUGGCGAAGGCAGCCUCCUGGGAUAACACUGACGCUCAUGCACGAAAGCGUGGGAGCAAACAGGAUUAGAUACCCUGGUAGUCCACGCCCUAACGAUGUCAAUCUAGCUGUUGGGCUCUCGGGGCCUGGUAGCGCAGCUAACGCGUGAAGUUGACCGCCUGGGGAGUACGGUCGCAAGAUUAAAACUCAAAGGAAUUGACGGGGACCCGCACAAGCGGUGGAUGAUGGGAUUAAUUCGGGAUAAACGUGCGAAAAACCUUACCCUUUUACCUUGAUACAUGUCUGGAAUCCCAGAGAUUUGGGUAGAGUGCUCGCAAGAGAACCGGAACAACAGGUGCUGUAUGUGGUUGUCGUCAGCUCGUGUCGGAGAUGUUGGGUUGGAGUCCCGCAACGAUGCAACCUUGUCAAGAAGGUUAGCGAAAGGGCACUUCCAUCGAGACUGCCGGUGACAAACCGGAGGAAGGUGGGGAUGACGUCAAGUCCUCAUGGCCCUUAUGCAGGGCUUACACGUCAUACAAUGGUCGGGACAGAGGGUCGCCAACCCGCGAGGGGAGCCAAUCCCAGAAACCCGAUCGUAGUCCGGAUCGCAGUCUGCAACUCGACUGCGCAGUCGGAAUCUGGCCAGUAAUCGCGGAUCAGCAUGUCGCGGUGAAUACGUUCCCGGGUCUUGUACACACCGCCCGUCACAAUUAUGGAGUGGGUUUUACCAGAAGCAGUUAGCCUAACCGUAAGGAGUGGGCGAUUACCACGGUAGGAUUCAUGACUGGGUGAAGUCGUGUCAAGGUA
rnacentral:rRNA from 1 species